AUGAAGAAUCUAUCAUCCUCUUUCUGGGCAGCUGUGAGCUUAAUCCCUCUUCUUGGGGGGGUUGAUGCCAGGUCCAUUUGGUCCACAUCGCCAGGAACUUAUGGGGUCGACGACAAUUAUAUCCUCAAGUCCGGCUAUCCGGUCGGCAAUGGGAUCCUCGCAGGCACGCACUUCGGAGAUCCCGGUCACGAAAAGAUUGUUUUCAAUGUUGACUCUUUGUGGUCUGGCGGCCCAUUUGAAAACUCGGCCUACACUGGAGGUAACCCGACAACCAGCAAGUCAACUGCUCUUCCCGGAAUUCGCGAGUAUAUUUUCGAUCAAGGAACUGGAAAUGUCUCGGCUCUCCUUGGCAGCGGCAACUACUAUGGCUCAUAUCGUGUCUUGGGCAACUUGAGUAUAAUCAUCGGCCACGCUACUGAUUAUACGAACUACACACGGUCUUUGGAUCCAUCCACUGGCGUUCAUACUACCACGUACCUUGCGGAUAGCGUCAAUUAUACGACAACCCUGUUUUGCUCCAAUCCGGCUGAUGCAUGUGUCUACCGUGUCACAUCUGAUGAGGACCUACCAAACAUCAACAUUCAGUUCGAAAACUUGGCCGUUUCAUCCAGUCUGGCCAAUCCGAGCUGUAACCAUCCGUACACUCGAUUCAGGGGGGUUACUCAACUGGGAGACCCAGAAGGAAUGAAGUACGAAGCCAUUGCAAGAUUUGUCGACAAUCGUGAUGGUGACGGAGUCUCGUGCGCAACCAAUGGCUCUUUGACUAUAGCCCGAUCCCCAGGCUUCAAAACGGUAGACGUUAUCAUCAGUGCAGGGACCAACUAUGACGCUACCAAAGGCAAUGCUGAAAAUGACUACAGCUUCAGAGGAGAUGACCCAGCUGAAGCAGUACAGAGAUCGACCUCUUCAGGCGCACAACAGGGCUAUGACAAGUUAUUGAAAGCGCACAUCGAAGACUACCAAUCGCUUUUCGGAACCUUCACCUUGACCCUUCCUGAUGCUCAAAAGUCAGCCGGUCACGAGACAGCAGUGUUGAUCUCAAACUAUUCCAGCAAUGGCAUAGGGGAUCCGUAUAUUCGGAUUUAUUAUAUAUCAAAGUCAAGGGAUCCUUACUUGGAGAGUCUCCUUUUCGACUAUUCACGAUAUCUACUCAUUGCAUCAUCUCGCGAGAAUUCGCUACCGGCGAACCUACAGGGCAAAUGGACAGAGCAGAUGAACCCUAGCUGGAGCUCCGACUACCAUGCAAAUAUCAACAUCCAAAUGAACUACUGGGCAGCAGACCAGACUGGCCUUGGAAAGACUUCGGUUGCUCUGUGGAAUUACAUGAGAAACACUUGGGUACCUCGGGGAACCGAGACGGCCAAGCUUCUCUACGAUGCGCCUGGGUGGGUCGUCCACAAUGAAAUGAACAUCUUUGGUCAUACAGGUAUGAAGGGUUCAGCAACAUGGGCCAAUUAUCCAGUCGCUGCAGCGUGGAUGAUGCAACAUGUGUGGGACAACUAUGAGUAUGGCCGAUCACUCACUUGGCUACGCCAGGAAGGCUACCCCUUGCUCAAAGAAGUCGCUCAAUUCUGGAUUUCCCAGCUUCAAGAAGACGAGUUCAACAAUGACGGCACAUUGGUCGUGAAUCCCUGCAACAGCGCAGAACAUGGUCCGACAACGUUCGGGUGCACCCACUAUCAGCAGUUGAUCCAUCAAGUUCUUGAAGCUACCUUGAACUCGAUUACAUAUAUCGGCGAGGAUGACCAGGACUUUACAUCAGAGCUGAAAACUGUGUUGAAAAAGCUCGACAAGGGCCUUCAUUACACAUCCUGGGGCGGCAUCAAAGAAUGGAAGUUACCGGAUUCUGCUGGCUACGACACAAAGAACACCCAUCGACAUCUAUCCCACCUCGUCGGCUGGUACCCAGGCUAUUCCAUCUCUUCUUUCCAGGGUGGUUACUGGAAUUCGACAGUUCAGGCAGCUGUUGAAGCCACACUUGUGGCCCGUGGAAAUGGUGUGCAGGAUCAGGACACUGGUUGGGGCAAAGCCUGGCGCGUUGCGUGCUGGGCCCGUCUCAACAACACGAGCCAGGCGUACGACGAACUUCGACUACUCAUCGACAAUAACUUUGCACCCAAUGGCUUUGAUAUGUACCAGGGCCAAAAACCGCCUUUUCAGAUCGAUGCGAAUUUCGGUUUGGGUGGAGCAGUGCUGAGCAUGCUCGUAGUUGACCUCCCAAAUUCCUACGUCAACGAGGAUAAGACACGCACGAUAGUCUUGGGCCCUGCUAUUCCACCAAGAUGGGGCGGUGGCAACGUCAAGAACUUGAGGUUGCGAGGUGGAUCUGCAGUUGAUUUCGAAUGGGACUCUGAUGGAAAAGUCACCCACGCAACCUUGCAUGAAACUGGAAAGCACGUCAAGUUGGUCAACGUGCUUGGUGAAGAGUUGAAUGAGUAGUGA
rnacentral:lncRNA from 1 species